rnacentral:rRNA from 1 species
AGACGAAUGGUCUUGAAAGGCCAGUCACAGAGGGUGCCAACCCCGUAGUCGAAAUGCAGCACUAACGUGAAGAGGAUCCCAAGUAUCACGGGGCCCGAGAAAUCCCGUGUGAAUCUGCCAGGACCACCUGGUAAGCCUAAAUACUCCCAGAUGACCGAUAGCGGACAAGUACCGUGAGGGAAAGGUGAAAAGUACCCCGGGAGGGGAGUGAAAUAGAACCUGAAACCGUUUGCUUACAAACCGUUGGAGCCUCCUUGUAGGGGUGACAGCGUGCCUUUUGAAGAAUGAGCCUGCGAGUUAGCGAUAUGUGGCGAGGUUAACCCGUGAGGGGUAGCCGUAGCGAAAGCGAGUCUGAAUAGGGCGAUUCAGUCGCAUGUCCUAGACCCGAAGCGAAGUGAUCUAUCCAUGGCCAGGUUGAAGCGACGGUAAGACGUCGUGGAGGACCGAACCCACUUGGGUUGAAAACCGAGGGGAUGAGCUGUGGAUAGGGGUGAAAGGCCAAUCAAACUUCGUGAUAGCUGGUUCUCUCCGAAAUGCAUUUAGGUGCAGCGUUGCGUGUUUCUUGCCGGAGGUAGAGCUACUGGAUGGCCGAUGGGCCCUAAAAGGUUACUGACGUCAGCCAAACUCCGAAUGCCGGUAAGUAAGAGCGCAGCAGUGAGACGGUGGGGGAUAAGCUUCAUCGUCGAGAGGGAAACAACCCAGACUACCGACUAAGGUCCCAAAGCGUGUGCUAAGUGGAAAAGGAUGUGGAGUUGCAUAGACAACCAGGAGGUUGGCUUAGAAGCAGCCACCCUUGAAAGAGUGCGUAAUAGCUCACUGGUCAAGUGAUUCCGCGCCGACAAUGUAACGGGGCUCAAGCACAUCACCGAAGUCGUAGCAUUUACAUACUAGGUAGGCCUUCGUGGUCCAGCCGUGUAAAUGGGUAGGAGAGCGUCGUGUGGCGAGCGAAGCGGCGGAGUGAUCCAGCCGUGGACGCCACACGAGUGAGAAUGCAGGCAUGAGUAGCGAAAGACGGGUGAGAAACCCGUCCUCCGGAAGACCAAGGGUUCCAGGGCCAGGCUAAUCCGCCCUGGGUAAGUCGGGACCUAAGACGAGGCCGACAGGCGUAGUCGAUGGACAACGGGUUGAUAUUCCCGUACCGGCGAAGAACCGCAAGAGCUAACCCAGUAAUGCUAAGAGUCCGAAUUCUCUUUCUGAUCCCUUCGGGGUGAGGAUUGAGAGCUAGCACUCGACCCUAUGCUGGUGCGGCUAGCGUAUUAACAGGUGUGACGCAGGAAGGUAGCUGAGCCGGGCGAUGGUUGUCCCGGUGUAAGGAUGUAGGGCGAGGAAUAGGCAAAUCCGUUCCUCACAUAAGCCUGAGAUCCGACGCGUACCCCUCACGGGGGAAAUCAGUGAUCCUAUGCUGCCAAGAAAAGCAUCGACGCGAGGUUCUAGCUGCCCGUACCCCAAACCGACUCAGGUGGUCAGGUAGAGAAUACUAAGGAGAUCGAGAGAAUCGUGGUUAAGGAACUCGGCAAAAUGCCCCCGUAACUUCGGGAGAAGGGGGGCCGGACGGGUGAAGGGAUUUACUCCCAGAGCCUAGAAGGCCGCAGAGACCAGUGGGAAGCGACUGUUUACUAAAAACACAGGUCCGUGCUAAGUCGCAAGACGAUGUAUACGGACUGACGCCUGCCCGGUGCUGGAAGGUUAAGAGGAGCGGUUAGCACUUGUGCGAAGCUGUGAAUUUAAGCCCCAGUAAACGGCGGUGGUAACUAUAACCAUCCUAAGGUAGCGAAAUUCCUUGUCGGGUAAGUUCCGACCUGCACGAAUGGCGUAACGACUUCCCCGCUGUCUCCA